GGGCGCAUAGCUCAGUUGGCAGAGCAGCUGACUCUUAAUCAGCGGGUCCCAGGUUCGAGUCCUGGUGCGCCCACCA
rnacentral:tRNA from 3 species